rnacentral:rRNA from 1 species
CCUGCACCUGCCGGCGACCGGCGCACGGGUGAGUAACACGUAUGGAACCUGCCCGCCACAGGGGGAUAACCCGGGGAAACCCGGCCUAAUACCCCAUGCCGCCCGGACCGGGCAUCCGGUCCGGGCGAAAGGAGGAAUCCGGUGGCGGCUGGGCAUGCGGCGCAUUAGCUUGACGGCGGGGUAACGGCCCACCGUGGCGACGAUGCGUAGGGGUUCUGAGAGGAAGGCCCCCCACACUGGAACUGAGACACGGCCCAGACUCCUACGGAAGGCAGCAG